rfam:Dipodomys ordii contig_70646, whole genome shotgun sequence.
UCAAAGGCCCUUUUCAGGGCCAUCUAUCCUUUCACACAAAAGCGCU